UACGAAGGGGGCUAGCGUUGUUCGGAAUUACUGGGCGUAAAGGGCGCGUAGGCGGCUUGGCAAGUGGAAGGUGAAAUCCCUCGGCUUAACCGAGGAACUGCCCUCCAAACUGCCUCGCUUGAGACCGGGAGAGGUGAGUGGAAUUCCCAGUGUAGCGGUGAAAUGCGUAGAUAUUGGGAGGAACACCAGUGGCGAAGGCGGCUCACUGGACCGGUACUGACGCUGAUGCGCGAAAGCGUGGGGAGCAAACGGG
rnacentral:rRNA from 1 species